GUCACAUUAAACUGAGUUGUGAGUUGCGCGUGUUGCUCCCAUCCUUUCUCAUAUUUCCGAGCUCGUCGUUUAAAUGUUGGAGGCCCAGCGAAGUCGACUGCUAUCAUUUGAAAAGGAUGUGACAUGAUUACACGUGUAGCGGGAAUGGAGCAUCCAUCUGAACCAUGUAUCGCGAGUCGUUCUUCUUACAGGUAAUGCAAUUACCUAUGACGUCUCUGGCGCGCCCAGGCGAAUGGUAUGAUGAUACCUGGACUCGUCCACAGUGAUACCUCCAACUUCAUCUAAUCAAAUCUAACAAAGGCUCCAAAUUUGGUCUUGUACUCUACGACAGCGUGAGGAAAUAUCACUCUGCACCGGUUCACUCAGUUCCCUGCCUUUCCGCGCCUGCACACACUUGUCGACUGCAACGACCACUCCUGGACAUGUUUAUGGUUUUCAACCAAAGCUCCCAGGAGAGAGAAAGAGAGAGAGAGAGAGAG